GAGGAAAGAGACUUAUAGGUCUCGCGAGUUAUUUUAAUUCGUAUGCAAGAAAAAGAAGAGGGGCUUGGGACAUUAAGUUCUUAGGCAAUGUAAAAAAGCUGAUUUCUAUU
rnacentral:sRNA from 1 species